GGGGCAUUUUCCAUCCAGCGUGAACCAGGACUGUGGGGAGAGGGGGCUCCUGUUGAGAACAGACUCCUGGCUCGUGCACCUUCGUGUCACCUCCUGUCCUGGAAGCCCUUGGUUCAGGGGAAGCAAGCUGCCAUUUUGUGAGCUGUCCUGUGGAGAGGUCCACAUGGCAAGAAACUGAUGUCUCUGGCUCAUGGUUAUUGAGGACCUGAGGUCGGCCAACGACCAGGGAUGAAAUGCUAAGCACCGUGGUGAGAUCACAGCAGCCAGUCUACACGCUACCGCUUCAUCUCCUUUGUUCCAGCCAUUCAGUCCCAUCAGCCAGCAAACAGAUGUCCUCAAUCACAACUUUCUAAAUCUUAAUUCCAAACAAAUCUCCUCUUCCUGAGAUUUGAAUUUUAGUUCAAAUUGCAAUGGCCUUUUUAGGUUUAUUUUUCUAUUACAAACAAACUCCUAUAUUUUUGAAGUUAGACAGUUUGAAAGGUGCCUCUCGAUAAACAAGCCAACAAAUAGACCACCGUUAAGAAGAAACUUUUCUCAUGAGGAACAAGGAGGAGAUGUCUGUGGCAACUGGAAUGGGAUUGUCACAGCCCCCAGGAGUUACGGUGGAGGAAGGAAACACAUCUUAGAAUAGUAGGUGUAUCUUUGACAUAGCUGUAAGCUAUGCUGUGGUUUUACUAACAUGAUAGGUGAAAUACAAUUCAAUUAUAUAAGGCCCCCAAACAAAGAUUUAUUUAUAUUUAGCUUUGCCUUUGAAACCGCCCACUGCUCUGGCCUUUGUAAAAGGCAGACCUAACCUAUUUGUUUUCCACUUCCCCUCCUCAACCCUUAUUGAGACAAAUAAAUAAAAAUAAAACUGGUAAGCCAGAUCCAAAGGCUGGAUGUAGCUAUGAUUUAGACUUGGCCUUUGGAAGAGACAUUAGGAUUUUAAGGUCAUGAGGCAUCAGUUAGUACCAUGAGGCAAAUGUACUAG